UACGUAGGGGGCAAGCGUUGUCCGGAAUCAUUGGGCGUAAAGCGCGUGUAGGCGGUUCAGUAAGUCUGCUGUGAAAGUCCAGGGCUCAACCCUGGGAUGCCGGUGGAUACUGCUGGGCUAGAGUACGGAAGAGGCGAGUGGAAUUCCCGGUGUAGCGGUGAAAUGCGCAGAUAUCGGGAGGAACACCAAUUGCGAAGGCAGCUCGCUGGGACGGUACUGACGCUGAGACGCGAAAGCGUGGGGAGCAAACAGG
rnacentral:rRNA from 1 species